CGGCCAGACUCCUACGGGAGGCAGCAGUGGGGAAUAUUGCACAAUGGGGGAAACCCUGAUGCAGCGACGCCGCGUGAGCGAUGAAGUAUUUCGGUAUGUAAAGCUCUAUCAGCAGGGAAGAAAAUGACGGUACCUGACUAAGAAGCCCCGGCUAACUACGUGCCAGCAGCCGCGGUAAUACGUAGGGGGCAAGCGUUAUCCGGAUUUACUGGGUGUAAAGGGAGCGUAGACGGCAGUGCAAGUCCGGAGUGAAAGCCCGGGGCUCAACCCUGGGACUGCUCUGGAAACUGUAAAGCUGGAGUGCGGGGGGGGCAGGCGGAAUUCCUGGUGUAGCGGUGAAAUGCGUAGAUAUCAGGAGGAACACCGGCGGCGAAGGCGGCCUGCUGGACCGUAACUGACGUUGAGGCUCGAAAGCGUGGGGAGCAAACAGGAUUAGAUACCCCUGUAGA
rnacentral:rRNA from 1 species